AACGCACGAGACCUGCGGACCUGCGGAGGGAUCAUUACCGAGUUUUCAACUCCCAAACCCCAUGUGAACUUAUACCAUUUACACCGUUGCUUCGGCGGGUUCUCGCCCCGGGCUUUACAACCCCGGAACCAGGCGGCCCGCCGGGGGACCCAAACUCUAGAUUUUAUUUUGGCAUGUCUGAGUGGAAUCAUUACAAAAUGAAUCAAAACUUUCAGCAAUGGAUCUCUAGAUCGGAAGAGC
rnacentral:misc_RNA from 1 species